rnacentral:rRNA from 1 species
AGAUUGAACGCUGGCGGCAUGCCUUACACAUGCAAGUCGAACGGCAGCACGGGAGCAAUCCUGGUGGCGAGUGGCGAACGGGUGAGUAAUAUAUCGGAACGUGCCCAGUCGUGGGGGAUAACGUAGAGAAAUUUACGCUAAUACCGCAUACGAUCCAAGGAUGAAAGCGGGGGACCGUAAGGCCUCGCGCGACUGGAGCGGCUGAUAUCGGAUUAGCUUGUUGGUGAGGUAAAAGCUCACCAAGGCGACGAUCUGUAGCUGGUUUGAGAGAACGACCAGCCACACUGGGACUGAGACACGGCCCAGACUCCUACGGAGGCAGCAGUGGGAAUUUUGGACAAUGGGCGAAAGCCUGAUCCAGCAAUGCCGCGUGCAGGAAGAAGGCCUUCGGUUGUAACUGCUUUGUACGGAGUCGAAAAGGUCUGACCUAAUACGACGGACCCAUCGACGGUACCGUAAGAAUAAAGACACCGACGUAACUACGUCGCCAGCAGCCGCGGUAACG